AUUGAACGCUGGCGGCAGGCCUAACACAUGCAAGUCGAGCGAGCGGCGGACGGGUGAGUAGUGUAUGGGGAUCUGCCCGAUGGGGGGGGAUAACUACGGGAAACGGUGGCGAAUACCGCAUACUAUCGGUUGAACCCAUAUGGGAUUAGCUAGUGGGUGGGGUAAAGGCUCACCAAGGCGACGAUCCCUCGCUGUUCUGAGAGGAUGAUCAGCCAGACUGGAACUGAGACACGGCCCGGACUCCUACGGGAGGCAGCAGUGGGGAAUAUUGGAAAAUGGGCGAAGUCCUGAUGCAGCCAUGCCGCGUGUAUGAAGAAGGUCUUAGGGUUGUAAAGUACGUUCAGCGGGGAGGCGUUACCUGCAGAAGAAGCACCGGCUAACUCCGUGCCAGCAGCCGCGGUAAUUC
rnacentral:rRNA from 1 species